rnacentral:snRNA from 1 species
AGCUUUGCACAAUAGCAGUAUUGUAGCCAAUGAGAUUUAUCUGAGGCAUGAUUAUUGCUAAUUGAAAACCCAA